GAUGAACGCUGGCGGCGUGCCUAAUACAUGCAAGUCGAGCGAACAGAUAAGGAGCUUGCUCCCUUGACGUUAGCGGCGGACGGGUGAGUAACACGUGGGUAACCUACCUAUAAGACUGGAAUAACUCCGGGAAACCGGGGCUAAUGCCGGAUAACCUUUAGAACCGCAUGGUUCUAAAGUGAAAGAUGGUUUUGCUAUCACUUAUAGAUGGACCCGCGCCGUAUUAGCUAGUUGGUAAGGUAACGGCUUACCAAGGCAACGAUACGUAGCCGACCUGAGAGGGUGAUCGGCGACACUGGAACUGAGCCACGGUCCAGACGCCUACGGGAGGCAGCAGUAGGGAAUCGUACGCAAUGGGCGAAAGCCUGACGGAGCAACGCCGCGUGAGUGAUGAAGGUCUUCGGAUCGUAAAACUCUGUUAUUAGGGAAGAACAAAUGUGUAAGUAACUGUGCACGUCUUGACGGUACCUAAUCAGAAAGCCACGGCUAACUACGUG
rnacentral:rRNA from 1 species